GGGCGAGUGGUGAAAUUGGCAGACACGCAUGGUUCAGGGCCAUGUACCCGCAAGGGUGUGAGGGUUCAACUCCCUCCUCGCCCA
rnacentral:tRNA from 1 species